rnacentral:rRNA from 1 species
GACGAACGCUGGCGGCGUGCCUAAUACAUGCAAGUCGAGCGCAGGAAACUGACGGAACUCUUCGGAGGGAAGGCAGCGGAAUGAGCGGCGGACGGGUGAGUAACACGUAAGGAACCUGCCUUAAGGAUUGGGAUAACUCCGAGAAAUCGGAGCUAAUACCGGAUAGUUCAUCGGACCGCAUGGUCCGUUGAUGAAAGGCGCUUCGGCGUCACCUUGAGAUGGCCUUGCGGUGCAUUAGCUAGUUGGUGGGGUAACGGCCCACCAAGGCGACGAGGGAUAGCCGACAUGAGAGGGUGAUCGGCCACACUGGGACUGAGACACGGCCCAGACUCCUACGGGAGGCAGCAGUAGGGAAUCGUCCACAAUGGACGAAAGUCUGAUGGAGCAACGCCGCGUGAGUGAUGAAGGUUUUCGGAUCGUAAAACUCUGUUGUAAGGGAAGAACACGUACGAGAGGAAAUGCUCGUACCUUGACGGUACCUUACGAGAAAGCCACGGCUAACUACGUGCCAGCCGCCGCGGUAACAC